rnacentral:tRNA from 1 species
GGGGCUAUAGCACAGCUGGUCUACUGCGCCUCAUUUGCAAUGAGGAGAUCGAGGGUUCGAAUCCCUCUAGCUCCA